rnacentral:rRNA from 1 species
GACGAACGCUGGCGGCGUGCUUAACACAUGCAAGUCGAACGAAGAGCGACGGAAGCUUGCUUCUAUCAAUCUUAGUGGCGAACGGGUGAGUAACGCGUAAUCAACCUGCCCUUCAGAGGGGGACAACAGUUGGAAACGACUGCUAAUACCGCAUACGAUCUAAUCUCGGCAUCGAGGAUGGAUGAAAGGUGGCCUCUACAUGUAAGCUAUCACUGAAGGAGGGGAUUGCGUCUGAUUAGCUAGUUGGAGGGGUAACGGCCCACCAAGGCGAUGAUCAGUAGCCGGUCUGAGAGGAUGAACGGCCACAUUGGGACUGAGACACGGCCCAGACUCCUACGGGAGGCAGCAGUGGGGAAUCUUCCGCAAUGGACGAAAGUCUGACGGAGCAACGCCGCGUGAGUGAUGACGGCCUUCGGGUUGUAAAGCUCUGUUAAUCGGGACGAAAGGCCUUCUUGCGAAUAGUGAGAAGGAUUGACGGUACCGGAAGAGAAAACCACGGCUAACUACGUG